CGUCUAUAUACGUAUAGCAUAUCAAUAAGCGGAGGAAAAGAAACUAACAAGGAUUCCCUUAGUAACGGCGAGUGAAGCGGGAAGAGCUCAAAUUUGAAAUCUUCAAGGUUCUACCUUGACGAAUUGUAGUUUAAAGAAGUGUUUUCUGUUAGAGAGUUAGGCUAAAAGUUCCUUGGAAUAGGGACAUCAUAGAGGGUGAGAAUCCCGUAUUUGACAUUAUUCUUUCUAGCUGUGUGAUACACUUUCAAAGAGUCGGAUUGUUUGGGAAUGCAGUCCAAAAUGGGUGGUAAAUUUCAUCUAAAGCUAAAUAUUGGCGAGAGACCGAUAGCGAACAAGUACCGUGAGGGAAAGAUGAAAAGAACUUUGAAAAGAGAGUUAAACAGUACGUGAAAUUGUCAAAAGGGAAGCGUUUGACACCAGUGUUGUUUUUCCGAAAAUCAAUUAAGACGGGCUUGAUUUUGUGUUGUAUUGACCUUAUCAGCUUUCUUCACUCUUUUUCGAGUCUUUCUUAAUGCACUUUUCGGUUAACAAGUCAACAUCAAUUUCUUUUGUUGUAAAAGGGUAUUUGGAAGGUGGCUUUCUUUUCGGAGAAAGUGUUUAUAGCCUUAUACCUCUACAAUCGGAGAGAUUGAGGUCUGCAGCGUAGAUCCUUCGGGGCUAGAUACACUUGUGCUAAGUUAUAGCUUUUCAUAGACAACUUGUUGACUAUGUUUAGUCAUGUAGCUUACCCGCUUGUGCUAUUUUACCUACGCUUAGGAUGUUGAGUCAUCACACAUCUCU
rnacentral:rRNA from 1 species